UGCGUAGGUGGUUUGAUAAGUCAGCGGUGAAAGUUUGCAGCUUAACUGUAAAAAUGCCGUUGAAACUGUCGGACUUGAGUGUAAAUGAGGUAGGCGGAAUGCGUGGUGUAGCGGUGAAAUGCAUAGAUAUCACGCAGAACUCCGAUUGCGAAGGCAGCUUACUAAGCUACAACUGACACUGAAGCACGAAAGCGUGGGGAUCAAACAGGAUUAGAUACCCUGGUAGUCCACGCCGUAAACGAUGAUCACUCGCUGUAUGCGAUACACAGUAUGCGGCCAAGCGAAAGCAUUAAGUGAUCCACCUGGGGAGUACGAUCGCAAGGUUGAAACUCAAAGGAAUUGACGGGGGCCCGCACAAGCGGAGGAACAUGUGGUUUAAUUCGAUGAUACGCGAGGAACCUUACCUGGGCUUAAAUGGGGAACGACAGCUGCCGAAAGGUAGCCUUCUUCGGACGUUCUUCAAGGUGCUGCAUGGUUGUCGUCAGCUCGUGCCGUGAGGUGUCGGGUUAAGUCCCAUAACGAGCGCAACCCUUAUCGUUAGUUGCCAGCGGGUCAUGCCGGGGACUCUAGCGAGACUGCCACCGUAAGGUGUGAGGAAGGUGGGGAUGACGUCAAAUCAGCACGGCCCUUAUGUCCAGGGCUACACACGUGUUACAAUGGCAAGUACAAAGGGCAGCUACCUGGUGACAGGGUGCUAAUCUCUAAAGCUUGUCUCAGUUCGGAUCGAAGUCUGCAACCCGACUUC
rnacentral:rRNA from 1 species